AGUGUUUUCAUCAGGGUUUCCAUUGCUAUGAAGAGACAGCAUGACCAAGGACCACCAUUUGAGAGCAGCUUCCUCUCUUGUUUGUACUUAAGAAGUUUGAUGGAACUGGAGAUGGUUUAGCCAUUAAGAGCAGCCACCAUUUUGUUGAAGACAUGACUCUGUUCCCAGCAACCAACACAAAACUGCUUGUAACUCUAGCUACAGGGGAUUCCAUACCAUCUUCUAUGUUUCUCAUAUACUGAUACUCAGGGAGCCAUUCUGCUAAAAGACCUACUUCUUCAAGGGAAAUAAUUACAUUUAACAAAAGACAACGACUAGUGCUAUUACUAUGAACAUCUUUCUACACUGGCAACUAGAAAAAUCAUGUGGCUCCUGCUUCCUAAGCUGACUUUUUAACACUGACUUCCUAACACUUACAUAGUGAAAGAUGGCCCUAAGGUUUUUUCUUCUUGCCU
rnacentral:lncRNA from 1 species